rnacentral:rRNA from 1 species
UGGGGAAUCUUGCGCAAUGGGCGAAAGCCUGACGCAGCGAUGCCGCGUGCGGGAUGACGGCCUUCGGGUUGUAAACCGCUUUCAGCAGGGACGAAAUUGACGGUACCUGCAGAAGAAGCCCCGGCCAACUACGUGCCAGCAGCCGCGGUAAUACGUAGGGGGCGAGCGUUGUCCGGAUUUAUUGGGCGUAAAGAGCUCGUAGGCGGUUCGAUAAGUCGGAUGUGAAAUCUCCACGCUCAACGUGGAGGAGCCAUUCGAUACUGUCGUGACUCGAGUCCGGUAGGGGAGUGUGGAAUUCCUGGUGUAGCGGUGAAAUGCGCAGAGAUCAGGAGGAACACCCGUAGCGAAGGCGGCACUCUGGGCCGUGACUGACGCUGAGGAGCGAAAGCGUGGGGAGCAAACAGG